CGGGGCGUAGUUCAGUUGGCAGAACGCUCGGUUUGGGACCGAGAGGUCGCGAGUUCGAGUCUCACCGCCCCGA
rnacentral:tRNA from 2 species